UAAAUUUGAGCCCAAAAUAUUUGAUUGGUUAUUUUUGAAAUGUUAUAGAGAGUGACUGUUAUUAAUGGUUUAAGUGAAAUUCAUAUUAAUGAUUUCAGUGAUAUGUUGAGUACAUGAUAUUGCUGCUUUCGAAUGUUUAAAGAGAUUUAGAAAUAAUUUAAGUAUGCAAGUGGACUCAUCCGGUUUGCCGGUGAGGUAUAAGUGGACCUAUCUGGGACGCCAGUAGGGAUUAAGUGGACUCAUCCGGUACGCCGGUGAGGUAUAAGUGGACCUGCAGGGAUUAAGUGGACCUAUCUGGGAC
rnacentral:lncRNA from 1 species